rnacentral:rRNA from 1 species
CCUACGGGAGGCAGCAGUGGGGAAUAUUGCACAAUGGGGGAAACCCUGAUGCAGCGACGCCGCGUGAGUGAAGAAGUAAUUCGUUAUGUAAAGCUCUAUCAGCAGGGAAGAAAAUGACGGUACCUGAGUAAGAAGCCCCGGCUAACUACGUGCCAGCAGCCGCGGUCAUACGUAGGGGGCAAGCGUUAUCCAGAUUUACUGGGUGUAAAGGGAGCGUAGACGGCAGUGCAAGUCUGGUGUGAAAGGCGGGGGCUCAACCCCCGGACUGCUCUGGAAACUGUCCGGCUGGAGUGCAGGAGAGGUAAGUGGAAGUCCUAGUGUAGCGGUGAAAUGCGUAGAUAUUAGGAGGAACACCAGUGGCGAAGGCGGCUUACUGGACUGUAACUGACGUUGAGGCUCGAAAGCGUGGGGAGCAAACAGGAUUAGAUACCCGAGUAGUC